rnacentral:lncRNA from 1 species
GCAUGGGCUGUUAGAAAUCAGAUCUAAGGAGCCUUAGGGAAGGUCUCUUUUUAUAGGCAAAAAAUUUGAAUCAUAUUCAAAAUUAAAUAAUCUCUUAAUACAAGUCCUACUUGCAUUAGAAAUCCUUAUUCUUUUAGUUAUUUGACCCCCUUUAGGAGAUCCAUUAGGCACCAACUAUUGGAGCCUUUGCACCCACUUUUGCACAUGCCAUAUGGCACUUAUGGGAUGCCCC